rnacentral:piRNA from 1 species
UACAGUUUUUUCCUAUUCGGU